GAACGCUAGCGACAGGCCUAACACAUGCAAGUCGAGGGGCAGCACGAAUCAAGCUUGCUUGAUUUGGUGGCGACCGGCGCACGGGUGCGUAACAGGUGUGCAAUCUGUCCAUAAUCGGGGAAUAGCCCAGCGAAAGUUGGAUUAAUGCUCCAUGUGAGUGAUUGAGGCAUCUCUUUCAUUUAUCGGUAACGGAUGAGGAUGCGUACGAUUAGCUGGUUGGCGGGGUAACGGCCCACCAAGGCGACGAUCGUUAGGGGUUCUGAGAGGAAGGUCCCCCACACUGGAACUGAGACACGGUCCAGACUCCUACGGGAGGCAGCAGUGAGGAAUAUUGGUCAAUGGUCGAGAGACUGAACCAGCCAAGUAGCGUGAAGGAUGACUGCCCUACGGGUUGUAAACCUCUUUAGUCGGGGAGCAAAAAAGCGGACGUGUCCGCCAUUGAGCGUACCCGAAGAAUAAGCAUCGGCUAACUCCGUG
rnacentral:rRNA from 1 species